CAGACAAUUAAUGUGGAGAGCAGUAGCCUAGAGCUAAGCCUUUGUGUUGAGACAAAUGGAGCAAGGGGUGGUAUACUGCACCCUGUGUUAUCCACCCUACGAUCCCUGCAUCUGGGCGUACAGAACAUAGUAUUGGAAUUGUCCAUCCUUCCAGGACUGCCACAAUCUUCAUACAAUGGCCAUCACGUUUAACUGAAAAGAGGUUAAAACCCUCAGAGAUGCAGACUGCCGCUCUUUAGGGGUAUUUCCUUCCUGGCAACAUGAUCGAUAAACCAUUAGGUAACUCUGAUGACUGUGCAAAAAUCAGCCUUUUUCCUCCUCCUCUCUCCCAGCGUUGCUUCCUGAAUGCUAAGAAGAGGUUAAGGAAGAGCACUGAAUGCUGCGGGUUGCCACCACUGUGCAGUGUGGGCAGUCAGUUCACAGGGGAGCCUAUGGGGCAGGAACACCCAUGGAAAACGUGGACAAAAAAAGCCCACAGUGCUCCUGCUGUGAUGAAGGGGAUGGAGACUGGCUGUUGCUCCUUGAAGACCACCAGAGCAGGGAGCUUCCUCCUCGCUUGAAGCGUCUAAGAGCUCUGCAAGGCGCUGGGAGAAAACCAGCCUCCAUCACCAACUUCAGGGGUUGGAAAAUAAUUGGAAAAGAAUCCCCCAUGUAUUUUUUCUUCUAUGACUCAUGAAUUUCAGUGGGGUCCCUCAGCGCACAUCUCUCCAUGGGGUCACAGUGCCUUGUGGCAGGCAGCUGUGUCCAGUCGGGACCCAGUUCUAGGGGAGAGCGGUGACAGUGUGACCGCAGGGAGCAGCGGUAUGCAGCCCGAGAAGGGCUCCUCGGCUGCUUUCUGCUUGUUUUCAUUACUUCCAAAUGAAUGCACAGCCUUUAUUGAAAGUCGCUUGUUUUCAGUGCAGCUUCCUUUUGAGGCAGGUGUGACAGUCAGCAUUGCUCUGGGCCUUACACCAUGCUCAGUUCUCCAGGCUUCCGGCUGCAGCUCCUCAAGUCAAAACCCACACAGACAACAUAGAUGUUCCUGUGGGCUUUCUAUGUCCGGCGAGGGUCAGCUGUGGGUUAGGGAAAGGCUGUGCCCCAGAGGGCAGUGGGCAUGGAACAGCCUGCCCAGGGCAGUGGGCAUGGCCCCAGUGCUGAGGCUCAGGGAGUGCUGGGAUGCCGCUCUCAGACAUAGGGUACGUGGGGCUGAAGGGCCCUGCCAGCCCACAGCAGGCCACGGCCCUGUGCCCGCUGUGGCUUGACUCAAAGCAUUCCAGAGAGGAAUAAAUACAGGUUAAGUACUAAAAUCCUACUGAAACCGUGCAGGAGCUGAGUGCUCAGUUCCCUCAAGAUUUUUUAGGCAGGUGGAAUAUAUCUAUCUAAGCCAAGGAAAAGGACACCAGGCUUCCAACCCUAGCUCUGCUUAAGGUCUGUUACUGCAAAUAACCUUGUACAAAGUGGAGUAGAUAACCUGAUUAAUUCUGCUUGCCAUUCAAGCUUGCAUUAAAUAAGACGUGUAACUUCAGACAGAAAGCCAGCCAUUCUUCUGUUCUAACAGUCUGCUGUCAACGCAGGACAAUAAAAUAUGAAUAUUUUAGAUUCAUAGUGCAGACAAAUAGGAAAUAGGAGCUGUAUUGUGCUUCACAUGCACGGCUAGCUCAGUAAUGCUAACGUGAUUAUCUCAUUGAACUUUUGUGCCAUCGCUUAAGGGCAGCUUUGUCUUGCUUAGCUGGGAUGUACAUAUUUGUUUCUUCCAUGCAUAGCUCCAUAGUCUUUUUUAAGCUUGUGGAAAUGGGAAAAUCUGAUUUUCCUCCUCAGCCACAAGGUAGCAUCAUUCCUUGGCAUUGCUUGGACCAGUACGUCUUAAGUGCAAUUUUUACAGGUUCCUACCAAAAUAUUUUAAUGUCUGCAGCUAGAUUUCCAGACAGAAACAUGGGAAAAUCACACCAGAAUUUAAAAUAUGAAUUAUAGCGUGGUUCACUCUCUGUAACAGAGAGACAAGGAGGGUAAUCAAAACAUGAAAUAUUCUGAUUCAUUCCUCUCCCUAAGCAGAAAAAAAAUGUUUUCAGGAUUAGUGGGGGUUUGGUCUAGAUGGGCUGCCAUUUGGUUAUUCAGCUGUGAGAUUCAUUACCUGGGCAGGCUGGCUUUGCCAGCCCUGAGAUCACAGCAAUAGCAUGCACCUGACGUGGGGUGGCAAAAAAAGCUGGGUGAAUUCAACUCUAAUGAAAACAUCUUGCCACACUGACCCAAAAAACCAUCAAUCUGAGUACUCAGUUCCCUUUUUAAUAUCUAAAUCCUUUUAUUUUCUCUGUGCUGGAUUUGUUUUAUAUUUCCCUUUUAAGUUAGCACUUUGUGUGGGGGUGGAUGUUACGAAGACCAGUUUUGAUGGAAAGUAGAUUGAGCCUUGAAGACUUUCAUCACUGCAUUAUAGCUCUGCUCCCUCCACCCCUCACUGAUAUCCCUCCAUUUACAUGAGUAUUGGACAGGACUUAGGAAUCAGCCCUGACUUGGCCAGUUUUAUUGGGUUUAUGUGGCAAUGUUUUGGUAGCAGGAGGCUGCAGGUGUGGCUUGUGUGAAUAGGCCAAGACCUGCCCCAUCUUAAAUCAAAGCCAGUUCCAACCAGCUCUAAAGGUGACCGACUGCUGCCCACAGCUGAGCCAAUCGGUGAUGCUGGUGGCACCUCAGCGAUAACACACUUAAGAAAGGGUAAAAUACAUUCUGCAGCAGUUGUGAGAGAGAGGAAUGAGAAAAUGUGAGAGAAAACUCUGCAGACACCAAGGUUAGGGAAGAAGGAGGGGGAAGAGGUUCUCUAGGCACCGGAGCACGCAUUUCUUGACAGCCCAUGAAGAGGACCAUGGUGAUGGAAGCAGACCAUGGAGGAACCCAUGCCACAGCAGGUGGAUAUCCUGAAGGAAGCUGAAGCCAGCCAACACAGGAGCAGGCUGGAGCUGUAUCCAUGCAGAAGGGACCAUGCUGGAGCAGUCUCCUGUUUAUGGAUGGUACCUUGCACAGAGGACCCGUGCUGUAGCAGUUCUUGAAGGAUUGCUUCCCAUGGGAAGGACCCCAUUCUGGAGCAGGGGAAGAGUGUGAGGAGGAAGGAGUGACAGAUGUGGACUGCUGGAACUGACAGCAAUGCCCAUUCUCCAUCCUCUGUGCUGCUCCUUCACCCUGCUAUGGUCAUGUCCCAGGGCAAAUAAUGGCUGUGCAUCCAGCCUCUGUCCUUUCUUCCCUUAGAGUAUUUACAGGCAGAUUUAACAGUUCCUCAUUGACUGAAAGGGUUCAAUAUGCUAGCGAAACUUAAAAAUUCAAAUGAUUAUUAACAAUUUUAAUGAACUUUGUCAUAAAAUGUAACUAUAAAGAAUGCCCCAUAAAAAAAAAAAAAAAGACCUUUCACAACCAGAAGUAAAAAAUAACCUUUAAAAAUUCUUAUGAAAUGUAUGAUGAAACUUAGAGUUGUAGAAUCAUAGAAUGGCCUGGGUUGAAAAGGGCCAUAAUGAUCAUCGAGUUUCAACCCCCCUGCUAUGUGCAGUGUCACCAACCACCAGACCAGGCUGCCCAGAGCCAAAGUUGGUCCCUCAGUGUGCAUUAGCAUUGAUGUAGAGAUGUAGAAGUUAUAAAGGCCACUGUAGCUCAGGGAUUUAGUGCAGGUAAUAAGAUGAAAAGAAUGGGCACAGUCUCCUUUUGGUAGAAUUGGUAUGACAACAUCUCAAGUCCCAGCUGAGCAGGGAUCAAAUCAAGAUGUACAGUUCUGUAUAAAAGUGAACGCAAAGCUAUGUUGGAUGCUCAGCAUGCAAAGGAAGGUUCAGGCUAUGUUAGAGAGUCUUAAGAAGAAUUUGGCAGCUUGCUGGGGAGGAGGGAAGGGAUGCAGAACAGAUGUUCUGAAGAUCCCUCUGGUUUUAACAUCUGCUCCAUAGUUCUUGCAACUGGGAGGGUCUGGAUUUGAUGACCAGUUUCACAUUCCUGAAAUGGCCAUAAUCUCUGCCCUGAAGCCCUCUGAGCCAAAGCAAGGGGUGAGUAAAUAUAUACUUACAUUAACUUCUGGACAAUGAUUUCAACUUGCUGAAGUCAAUGGGACUUUGACGCAUGAUGGAAGCUAAUCAGGUACUUACCUAGUUUCCUCAUUAGUGAUGAAUUGGUCGUUUACUUUAGAGGACAUAACAUAACCACUGAAAGCAUAGCAAAUUCUUCAUGUUAAAUUGGCCUCUAUGGAGCUCUAUGAGUGAGUGAGCGUGUAUAUAUGUGUUCAGAGGGCAGAAGGUUGUUCUUUUCCUCUCUGGUUUUAUUCUCUUCCUCUCCACUUUCUAUAGUAUCCUCUUCCUAUUUUAUUUGUUGUUCUCUCCCCUCUUCCUCACAGUUUUUGUUUCAUGUUCUUUUUCACAGCAUUUUAGCCAUAGUAUCUUUAAGAUCUUUACAGUCUCUAUGUUUAAAGACUGACCCCGCCUCAAGGAACCCUAAAAUGCCGUGUCUCAGAUUCCUUAUAAAUGUGGAGAGGGGCAAAAUGCAGCUUUCCCAUUUCCCCAGCACUUUUUGGUUCUCUCAGCUAAUCUACACUAAUGUUUUUUGAUUUUAAUAUUACUACAAUUUUGGAGAUAUCAGUUACUUCCACUUUAUAUAUCAGAAUCUCUGCACUAUGAAACCAAAAUGCAUAGCCGUGCUUUUCCUGAAGAGGCCAUUGUCAAGGAUUUCCCAAGCCCAAAUAUGAUAUAACUCUGAGUCUAAAACUUCUGGGAUGCAUCAGACAUCCUCUCCAUACACAGAUCAACUACACAUAAGAUGAACAGUAGGUCAAAAUUUUCUCUGAGAGUGUAUGGUAAUUGCUUAUGCAAUGAAACAGACGGUGAAAUGUUUGGAAGCCAUCACUCCUCUCAUCCAUGAGAAGCCUGGAGACCUUAGUCUAAUGUGUAAUAACCAAGAACUCUUCCUGGAUGGAAGAGAGGACACUUCCAGCAAAACCUACUUAGCCCAAGUGAGAGCACAACAUUUCCAGAUAUGGCUGUGUGAUAGUUUGAUGUACAUGAGGCAAGAAAGGGCUUAGAGCAGAGAAGAUAUUCUCAAGGUAUAUUGUGCACCGAGAAUAAACAACCAUAUGGAGGAAAGCCCCGAGGGAUUUCUCUCUUCUUUCCCCUGAAGCUCAAAUACUGCCAGAGGAAACCCAACAGAUUUGGGUUUCUUGGUGGAAGUGGCACACUUUUGAUGUUCCAAAAUAAUGCAUAUAUCUCUCUGCUUCUAUUUUCUGAAUCCUUGACAUCAAGCAAGGCAUUAAAAUGUACACUGGCAAGGAUACAGGCAAGGAUAUAGGCAUCUCAGAAUUCUCUCUGUCACAGAAUCACAGAAUUCUAGAGUGGUUUGGGUUGGAAGGGACCUUUAAGAUCAUCUAGAUCCAACUUCCCUGCUAGAGCCAGGGACCCCUCCCUCUAGAGUUAGAGAGGUUUCUCCCAGCCCCAUCCAGCCUGGCCAAGGAUUGGACAGCCACAACAUCUCUGAUCGUAUAUGGCUCUUGUCAAAUGCUUGAUACUGUAGGCAGCAAGAUCCUGCAUGGGAAGGUGGGCCGUCAUCUUAUUUUCCAUUGGAAAGUUAUGUUUUUUUGGAUGAUUUAUGCCUGAAACAAUGCUAAUCUAUGUUAAUGUGUAACUUAGCUUGGAUGUCAGAGCAUGUGGGUGGUUAUUGACAGUGCAGGUUCACAAAGAAUCCCAGUAUAGCUGUACAUCAGCGGACUAUUGCCUUUAUCUGGCAGCCCAAGGAAAUAGCAAUUAGGAUCAGAUGGGGCCAACCAAUGACUUGUCAUAGUCCAGCUAUAUGGUUAUGUUGGUUAUGCUGUCUUUUUCUUUGCAAACCACAUGUUAAAAUCACCUUUAGGCUAGCUCCUAUGCUACUGUAAUUCAUGAAAUAAUUAGCAGCAAGAAAUGAAAGCAAAUACAUCUAAUGAAACAACAGCUGGAUUAAUAGAUCCCUGUAUUUGGAGCUUUUCUGAGCAGCCAGGAAUUACCUGCUAGGGACAUGUUCCCAUUCAUUGCAACACACAGCUGGCAGUUCAUGGCACGCAGUGUGCUACAUUCCUAAGACUCAAUUUCUUCUUUGCUUUCUAACUGGAAAAUCAAAUCCUGCCCUGGACUCUGACUGCAGCCACUGCAAAGGGUAAACAUACCACCGCCUUUCCAGCAGCGUCCCUUUCUAAUGAGAUCCAGCCCAAACUAUUACACUAAGGCUCAGUGAUGACAGCGACCUUUAUGGCUUUGGCAGGACCACUAGCACUCAAGGUAUUUUCUCCUGCAAUACCCCUCUUGUAGCAAGAAAUAAGAAAGUACAGGAGUGGAGAAACCAGUCAUUUCUCAGUUUAAAUGCUGUAUUUUACAGCAGCCUAGAGGAAUGUUUUGAUCCUGACGCAACACUUAACUGACCUGAAACAGAAGCAGCUGUUUCUCUACUGUCUGAGUGCCUCAGCCUAGCAAAAUGCAGAAGUGUGAAGUGAAGGUCUCUGCUGAGAUAUGUAUAAUUACAGAUUUUGUGCAUGUUAGGCACUCUCUAUUUUACACUGUUCAAUAGGCCUUGUCUGCAGCAUAAAGUGGUAUGGAAAAUUACUGGCUUAAAAAUGCAUCUGCUAAGGCAGAGCUUGAGGUCUGCAUCACAGGCAUGCGUGGUCCCACUCUGCUUCUGAAAGUAAGAUCAGAGGUAAUUCUCCUCUCCAGAAGAGGGACCACAGAGCUCUGUGAUGGGGGAGGCAGAGUCAGGACAGGAUCCAGAUGUGCUGCAGAGGGGAACUGCUGCAGUGUGGUCUGAUGGGCUGUGCACGCUGCUCUGGGUAUCGGCCAGGGAGCAAGGGGAGCUGCUUUACUCUCAUCUCUUCCUCCCCUUUAUAGAAGGUGAGCAGCACCUACAAAGCAGCAUCUGGGUGCUCCCCAGGCUGACAGAUGCUUGCAGCCAGGCUGUAAAUGGAAAAUGGGAUGGGUAUUUGAGGUCUGCUUCACAGUGUCACAGCUUUCUCAUUGAGCUGAACCAAAGAAAUCAACAACAAAAACAGACCCAGUGGACUGCAGGAUUUGUAUUGCACUGCUCACCAAUCAGAACUGAUGACAGGUGAAAACAGAUAAUAAAUCCAAUUGGCAAAGCUUGAGGCUGUUAACGCUGGCCCAAACCAUUUGAGAUUGGCAUCCUAAAAGCUUUUCUUCGUACUGAUUCCUAAUGGCUAAUGUACCAGAGGCUCUCCCUCUCCAAUCACCUUGGUGUGCAUCAGGCUGGCUUUCAAUUUCCCUGUGUCCUCUGCACAGGAAAGAGAAAAGAAAUCAAACAAGGGCAUACGGUCCACUCAGCAGAAUAUGCAAACAGGGGAGCUUGGAGACGAGUCAGCUGGAGACUGGGCUGCCUCCUGGAACUGGGGUGGAACAGCAAGGAAGAGAGUAGUGAGACGCUGUGAUUUAUAUCAUGUAUUUGUCACACGGCACUAUAUGUUAGCAUACAUACACACACAUCCACAGCAUAUGUGUUGACUCAUGGAUUCUCUGGCUGCUCAGCAAGCUUCCAGCCAUCGCUCUUGGUUGAGACAUGGCAGGUUAGUUACUUUUGCCCUUCACGUGAUCCUGCAUCAAGGAGAAACUAAAGCAAUCUUGACUUUUUGCUACUAAAUCUCCACGUUCCAUUUCCAGGACCCUCUGCUCACAGCUGUUAGAACACUUAUGCAGACAUUCUUUUUUCUUUUUUCUCCUACUGAUGAACUGAGCUCUCAAACUAUAUUCCAGCUGGGAACGUACAAUUAAUUGUCACAUGAAACUAAAGACUGCUUCCAUAUGUCUUCUGAUGCACGCCAUACAUACAGGUGUCUUUGCCUCGGAUGCACAUACCUUCUGUCUGGUGCUAAGAGGGAGAGAAAGCUCAGCCUGACGUCCAUCCUGCAAACUCGUGAACACGGUCAGUCAGCGGUGAAGGUAACCGAAGUACUCUGUGCUACUAAAUCCCUCACCAGAUCUGUGAAACAAAGGAAAUAAAUGGCUUCUUUAUUAAAAUAAUGAAUAAUAAUGGAAUAAUAAAUAUCUGUGAUCAAAAUCCCCAGUAUCACAGCCCCAUCUAAUGGACUGGCUGAAAGAUAUUGGAAGAAACUACAGAACAGAGUUUAUGUGUUCUCUUGCAAUAUAAGUUAUCGUGAUAAACGGGACCCCAUGGUAUAUUAAACUCUUAAUUAUGGGCACAAGAGGCAUUUUCUCUGAAAAUUAAAAAGGUUGCAAAAUGGCUGCAGCCUCUG
ensembl:lncRNA